CUACACGCGACGUCCAAGAGGAUUUGCUUAUGUUCAAUAUCCUUUCUUCAGAUGACUGAUUAGUGAGGGGUGAAGUUUCAAAUUCAAGUUUAUAAUGUAAAGCUGUACAGUUAUGGCGACCCCAGAGAGAAAGCAUGAAAGAACCUUUAGAGUAGAGUUCAACACUUAAGGCAAGUAGACAAGCCAAAGACCUCUUAAGGAUCUUAAGGAUCAGGCUUGAAGAGAAGGGAGAGUUUGGGAAAAGAAAAAAUAAAGAAAAGCUGGAAGAAGGACAAGCCUAAUGGGAGACAAAGCCUCGCUUUAUCUACAGAGGGGGAAAAGGUUGUUUUUCAAAGUUAAAGAUAAAGCCAUCUGUCAUAUUUGGCCAAGCAUCUCAUGACAAGUCCUUCUGACAAGCACUUAAAGAGUUAAAGGUCAAGAUGAAGUUGAAUGAUGGCCAAGAUUAAAGGAGUCAUACCUGAUCACAUUUGAGGAUGUUCGUGAUGCUGAAGAUGCUUUACAUAAUUUGGACAGAAAAUGGAUUUGUGGACGUCAGAUCGAGAUACAGUUUG